UACGAAGGGUGCGAGCGUUGUCCGGAUUUAUUGGGCGUAAAGAGCGUGUAGGCGGCCGAGCAGGUCCGUUGUGAAAACUGAAGGCUCAACCUUCAGAGGUCGAUGGAAACCGUUCGGCUAGAGUCCGGAAGAGGAGAGUGGAAUUCCUGGUGUAGCGGUGAAAUGCGCAGAUAUCAGGAAGAACACCCGUGGCGAAAGCGGCUCUCUGGGACUGUACUGACGCUGAGACGCGAAAGCGUGGGGAGCGAACAGG
rnacentral:rRNA from 1 species